rnacentral:rRNA from 1 species
CUACGGGCCGCACCAGUGAGGAAUAUUGCACAAUGGGGGGAACCCUGAUGCAGCAACGCCGCGUGGAGGAUGACGCAUUCCGGUGUGUAAACUCCUUUUAUAUGUCAAGAAAAUGACGGUAGCAUAUGAAUAAGCACCGGCUAACUCCGUGCCAGCAGCCGCGGUAAUACGGAGGGUGCAAGCGUUACUCGGAAUCACUGGGCGUAAAGGACGCGUAGGCGGGUUGGAAAGUCAGGUGUGAAAUCCUACAGCUUAACUGUGGAACUGCACUUGAAACUUCUAAUCUAGAGUAUGGGAGGGGGAGAUGGAAUUAGUGGUGUAGGGGUAAAAUCCGUAGAUAUCACUAGGAAUACCUAAAGCGAAGGCGAUCUCCUGGAACAUUACUGACGCUAAGGCGUGAAAGCGUGGGGAGCAAACAGGAUUAGAUACCCGCGUAGUC